UGGUAGGGGUGCUUGAACGUUUGUUCAGGCUGAGAUUACACCCGUAGAACCUGACGCGGAUAAUGCCGCCGUAGGGAUAAGAAA
rnacentral:ncRNA from 1 species